rnacentral:rRNA from 1 species
UACAGAGGUCCCAAGCGUUGUUCGGAUUCAUCGGGCGUAAAGGGUGCGUAGGUGGCAUGGUAAGUUGAAGGUGAAAUCUCGGGGCUCAACUCCGAAACUGCCUUCAAUACUGCUGUGCUCGAGGACUGUAGAGGAGAAUGGAAUUCACGGUGUAGCAGUGAAAUGCGUAGAUAUCGUGAGGAAGACCAGUGGCGAAGGCGAUUCUCUGGGCAGUUCCUGACACUGAGGCACGAAGGCUAGGGGAGCAAACGGG